GGCGGCACGCCUAAUACAUGCAAGUCGAACGAAGUAGCAAUACUUAGUGGCAGACGGGUGAGUAACAUGUGGGUAUCUUCCCUUUGGUGAGGAAUAACACGAGGAAACUUGUGCUAAUACCUCAUAAGUCUUUACGGAGAAAGCUUUAUGCGCCAUUGGAUGAGCCCGCACUUGAUUAGUUUGUUGGUAGGGUAAUGGCCUACCAAGACUUUGAUCAAUAGCUGAUUUGAGAGGAUGAUCAGCCACAUUGGGACUGAGACACGGCCCAAACUCCUACGGGAGGCAGCAGUAGGGAAUCUUGCACAAUGGAGGAAACUCUGAUGCAGCGAUGCCGCGUGAGUGAAGAAGGCCCUUGGGUUGUAAAGCUCUUUCGUCGGGGAAGAAAAUGACUGUACCCGAAUAAGAAGGUCCGGCUAACUUCGUGCCAGCAGCCGCGGUAAUACGAAGGGACCUAGCGUAGUUCGGAAUUACUGGGCUUAAAGAGUUCGUAGGUGGUUAAAAAAGUUGGUGGUGAAAUCCCAGAGCUUAACUCUGGAACUGCCAUCAAAACUUUUUAGCUAGAGUAUGAUAGAGGAAAGCAGAAUUUCUAGUGUAGAGGUGAAAUUCGUAGAUAUUAGAAAGAAUACCGAUUGCGAAGGCAGCUUUCUGGAUCAUUACUGACACUGAGGAACGAAAGCAUGGGUAGCGAAGAGGAUUAGAUACCCUCGUAGUCCAUGCCGUAAACGAUGUGUGUUAGACGUUGGAAAUUUAUUUUCAGUGUCGCAGCGAAAGCAAUAAACACACCGCCUGGGGAGUACGACCG
rnacentral:rRNA from 1 species